UACGAAGGGGGCGAGCGUUGUUCGGAUUUACUGGGCGUAAAGGGCGCGUAGGCGGCGCAACAAGUCAGGCGUGAAAGCCCCGGGCUCAACCUGGGAGGUGCGCUUGGGACUGCUGGGCUUGAGUUCGGGAGAGGAGCGUGGAAUUCCCAGUGUAGAGGUGAAAUUCGUAGAUAUUGGGAAGAACACCGGUGGCGAAGGCGGCGCUCUGGACCGAGACUGACGCUGAGGCGCGAAAGCGUGGGGAGCAAACAGG
rnacentral:rRNA from 1 species